GGAGAGAUGCAAGAGUGGUUUAAUUGGCAGUCCUGGAAAGACUGUGUACCGCAAGGUACCGCGAGUUCGAAUCUCGCUCUCUCCGCCA
rnacentral:tRNA from 1 species